CGGCACGGGUGAGUAACACGUAUCCAACCUGCCGUCUACUCUUGGACAGCCUUCUGAAAGGAAGAUUAAUACAAGAUGGCAUCAUGAGUUCACAUGUUCACAUGAUUAAAGGUAUUCCGGUAGACGAUGGGGAUGCGUUCCAUUAGAUAGUAGGCGGGGUAACGGCCCACCCAGUCUUCGAUGGAUAGGGGUUCUGAGAGGAAGGUCCCCCACAUUGGAACUGAGACACGGUCCAA
rnacentral:rRNA from 1 species